UACGUAGGGAGCGAGCGUUGUCCGGAUUUAUUGGGCGUAAAGCGCGCGUAGGCGGUUUCGUAAGUCGGAUGUGAAAACUCCAAGCUCAACUUGGAGCCUGCAUCCGAAACUGCGAUGAUUCGAGUCAGGUAGGGGAACACGGAAUUCCAGGUGUAGCGGUGAAAUGCUUAGAGAUCCGGAAGAACACCGGUGGCGAAGGCGGCCUGCUGGGCAGUAGCUGGACACUGAGGCGCGACAGCGUGGGGAGCAAC
rnacentral:rRNA from 1 species